GAAUUUUCCGCAAUGGGCGAAAGCCUGACGGAGCAAGACCGCGUGAGGGAGGAAGGCUCUUGGGUUGUAAACCUCUUUUCUCUGGGAAGAAGUACUGACGGUACCAGAGGAAUAAGCAUCGGCUAACUCCGUGCCAGCAGCCGCGGUAAUACGGAGGAUGCAAGCGUUAUCCGGAAUCAUUGGGCGUAAAGCGUCCGCAGGUGGAUUGGUAAGUCUGCUGUCAAAGGACGGAGCUCAACUCCGUAAAGGCGGUGGAAACUGCCAGACUAGAGGCUGGUAGGGGUAGAGGGAAUUCCCAGUGUAGCGGUGAAAUGCGUAGAGAUUGGGAAGAACACCAGUGGCGAAAGCGCUCUACUGGACCAGAACUGACACUCAGGGACGAAAGCUAGGGGAGCGAAAGGGAUUAGAUACCCCUGUAGUC
rnacentral:rRNA from 1 species